GGAAUAGUUUACAAUGGUAAGUUAAAAUAUUUGCUACAUAUUCGGGUAUAACCUUGGGGGUUCGACUCCCCUCUAUUCCA
rnacentral:tRNA from 1 species